rnacentral:lncRNA from 1 species
CUCGGGCCCAUAAAUCUCAAUCAUACGGUGGCACAUAGUUCUGGGGUAUGAAACCAUAGUAACUUACCCAACUCGGUGCUAAAUACUAAUACCUUUAGUUAUCUAUACUCAUCUCAUGGAAAUCCACUUUAAAAUAAUCUCGUGGUUUAUAAAAAACCCAAUUAUAAAAUCCACUAUGACCGUUAAGGUCAAAACUUUCUCAAUAAUCUCAAAAUAC